rnacentral:sRNA from 1 species
ACGCGCUUGGGGAAGUCCUCGACGUGCUUUUCGCUGACGUAGCCCGCCGCCAUUUCUGCCGUCAUCCGCGGCGGCCAAUUACCUGGCGGUACAAGGGCUGCGCGAC